GCUGCCUGCAAACUCAGGUAGCUCUUCAGACUCGUGAAGAGGUCUUGAACAUUCUUGAGAAACACCAACAAAAUGUGUAGUCCUCUGUGAAGAAGCUGGUCUGAAAGAAAAAUACACCUGGGACUAGCAAUAAGAAGGCAACUGGAACCUUGUAGAAACAGAGAACCAGAAAAGCUGAGAAAAACAGAGCCGAUACAAGACAAGGGCUAGACAGGGAUGAGCUGGGACGUCCGUCUAAGAGACAUGAGAUUUACAAUGACAGGUUUCUCAAGCUGAAAACGAAGAGGGAGACAGUGUGGCAGCAGAAAAGACAACAGGGAUACAACUGAGACAACCAGGAAGGACAUCCUUCCAGAGCACGUACCAGAAAAGGAUGUUGCUGCUUCUACUGUCUCCACUCCUGUCCUCAGGGCAAGCAGCCUGAAGCAAUGCCUAGAGCAAGGGAGGAGCAAAGCUGGAAGCCCAGGCGUUCUCCACCUGUCCAGAAUGAUUUCGUGUGACCGUCAGCUAUUUUUAUUUUUACUUCAUGUGCCAUAAAAAUAAUGAUAUUUUGAGAAAUUCCACAGAUAAAGGGCACUGAGGGAUAAAGGAUGUAGCUUUGGAGCCUGAUGGGUUAUGGGGUGGAAACUUCUCUAGGCUUCUUUGUCUUCAGUGUUCUUAUUGCUCUCACUUCAGAUUCCUGCAAGUUUACCACACUGUUUUUGAAACCGAGCCAUAGACAUUUCUCAGAAAUAUGGGAGCCAAAUCCGAGGGCACUUUUUAUUAUCCCCCAUUUAUAUUGAGCAGCCUUUGCCUGGUUUUCAUUGUGAGCUUCUCCGUGUGACUGCAGUGAAAGAGUGUACAGCUCAUGUGGGCUGUGCAAAUUCUUUUCGUUUCAGGAGUAACAGUUCUAGAAGUGACAGCCCUAACCCCUCAUCAUCUUUACUGUCUGACUUUAGACCUAAACACUUUUUUAUUCAGCAGUAUUUCUUCGCUCAUAAAAUAAAUGUGGCUAUCUUCCUCAUGUGGUGGUGAAUAGAAGAAAGAGCAAUUCUACUCAGAGAUAAAUACCGCCUAUCAAGUAUAACCACACAGCAGAGGACUCCGUCUGAGAUUGUGGUUUUAGGGUUCAGGCUAUUUGAAUCCCAUUUGCUUGGUUGACUAAUCUACCUGUUUGAUAAUGCUGGCUAGAGUUUUCUCCAUUUAGAGGAGAGGCAAAAUGAUAAUAGCACAUUAAUACGUUUCUAAUUUCUUUAAAGGUCUCUCCAGCUACUGUGUAGUGAACAGAUUGGGAAGGAAAAGACCAUCAGUGGGGGAGAGCCCGUGAGGCAGCUGCGUAAAGCCAGAUACGAGGGAAGUCGUUCAGCACAAACUCUAAACAAGGCUGCUUUGCCUUCCUUCGAUUCUAACACAUGGCCGGGCGUUGCUUGGGUAAAGUACUUGGUUCUUGACCCUUGCUUCUGAUCUAUAAACUGGAGCAAAUACCAGCACCUGCCUCGUUGAAUUGUCCUGAAUAACAGAGGACACGCACUGCAGUGUCCAGAACAUUUCCUUCCUGGAAGUAAGCAUUGCCUACUUUUUUGCCAGCCACAGAAAGGAUGUAAAGGGGACAGUGUGGCUCGUGGCCCCUAGAGGACAACAGAGGAAUGAUUACAGAAGUGACAGGUGCAUGCUAGCCAUCAAAGAUGUGCUCUCUGAGGAGAAAACGGUGAGGAGAGAGCUGCUACCUGGCAUGCAAAGCGGAAGCUGAGCCAGGAACUAUUGCAUAUCUUGUUCUGGGGAGUCUGCAUAAUGUUGCCCAUAUAGUCAGUGUAAGCAAAGUCAAGGACGUGGGCAAAUGAGCCGACAUGAGGGAGUCAGGCACAGCUGUUCGGACACACUUCUAAGAAGGCAUACGCAGAGGGCUAGCCAGUUGACCUUGGCUAUUGAGCCUGAGGGUUGGGGACUCUGAUUUAUCUGUUUGUGACCUGGGCUUUCUUGAAGCAUGCCAGCUGGGUUACAAGAGUGGAUAUCAAGAUAAGGACAGAUAGAAACCGCAUCACAUUUUGUGGCCCAGCCUCUGACAUCGUAUUUGUCAUAAGCCUGCCCAUUUUGAGGGGCACAGGAUAUAGGCCUCGCUUAUUUUGUGUUUUGUUCAUUUUAUUACAGUUUUCAUCUUGGUGGUUUUUUUUUUCUUUUCUCUGUUUGGUUUGGUCUUAUUUUUUGUUUUGAGUCAGAGUGUCACUAUGCAGCCCAGGCUGGCCCUGAAUUUUUCAGCUCUCUGCCUCGGCCUCCAAAGUGUCAGGAUAUAGACAUAUGUUACCCAUCUCUGACUUUUUUGGGGGGGGUUUGAGACAGGGUUCCUCUGGGUGUAGUCCUAGCUGUCCUGGAACUCACUCUAGUACUAACAGAGAUCCACCUGCCUCUGUUUCCCAAGUGCUGGGAUUAAAGAUGUACUAGCGACCCAUUCCUGACCUGUUGAUGUGAGAGUUUAGGGGAAGGAUUCUGGGGGUGGGAAACAUGGCAUGAGAAAUAUUUUACCCAUUAUUUUUAAGACAAUCAAGCAUCGAGUAAUUUCCAAGAAAUGCUUGCUAGCUCCUGUCUUUGAUUUUCUCACAUAAUGCAUCCAAUCUCACUGCCUCCAUUGUUCCCAAUAGCACCCACUGGGGACGCAGCCAGCCUGGUGCAGCCUGGGUACCAUUCAGGGACCUCCCCUCAGUUGUAGCUGGGAUCAUGGCCAACUCUGCAGGAGAGAUUGCAGGAUGGUCAGUGUGAAGCAACACCAAAUAAUCCAAUUAAAAAGUGGGGUACAGAACUAAAUAGAGAAUUCUCAAUAGAGGAAUAUAAAAUGG